rnacentral:tRNA from 1 species
GUCAGAGUGGCGAAAUUGGUAGACGCGCCAGGCUUAGGACCUGGUGGGGCAACCCGUGGGAGUUCGAGUCUCCCCCCUGACA